GACGAACGCUGGCGGCGUGCUUAACACAUGCAAGUCGAACGGAAAGGCCCUUCGGGGUCCUCGAUUGGCGAACGGGUGAGUAACACGUUGGUGAUCUGCCCUGCACUUUGUGAUAAGCCUGGGACACUGGGUCUAAUACCGAAUAGGACCACGCGCUUCAUGGUGUGUGGUGGCAAGCUUUUGCGGUGUGGGAUGGGCCCGCGGCCUAUCAGCUUGUUGGUGGGGUAAUGGCCUACCAAGGCGACGACGGGUAGCCGGCCUGAGAGGGUGACCGGCCACACUGGGACUGAGAUACGGCCCAGACUCCUACGGGAGGCAGCAGUGGGGAAUAUUGCACAAUGGGCGCAAGCCUGAUGCAGCGACGCCGCGUGAGGGAUGACGGCCUUCGGGUUGUAAACCUCUUUCAAUAGGGACGAAGCGCAAGUGACGGUACCUAUAGAAGAAGCACCGGCCAACUACGUG
rnacentral:rRNA from 1 species